rnacentral:misc_RNA from 1 species
GCAAACUUGGUCAUUUAGAGGAAGUAAAAGUCGUAACAAGGUUUCCGUAGGUGAACCUGCGGAAGGAUCAUUACUGAAUAAACUUGGUCAGGUUUGUUGCUGGCUCUCUCUCUCUGGGGGAGCAUGUGCACGCUUGCGCCAUCUUUAUUACCCAUCCACCUGUGCACUUGUGUGUAGCUUUUGAAUAGGACUCGGAAGAGAGGAACUGCAGUUCACCACUGCUUUCCUUGCAUUUGUGUCCGCCUGUUCAAGGUCUACGUGUAUUUUCUUUUACACACACUACCCUGUUAUCAGAAUGUAACUUCGUUGGGCCUUUGUGCCUAUACAAAAACUAUAUACAACUUUCAGCAACGGAUCUCUUGGCUCUCGCAUCGAUGAAGAACGCAGC